ensembl:lncRNA
GGACAAGGAAUGCUGCUAUUUAAGGUAGGAAAUCAGAAUUUGGGUUAGUAAAUUUGGGGAGGAGAAAAUUGACUGUUUAAAGGCAAAAUUAUGAAGGAGUCUGACACACUGUAAAAGCACCAUAUGCAAAUUCACACACACAAACAGGAAAUGCAUUAAACUUAUAAAGACAAGACAAGCUCAUGGAGUUUAAUGCAUAGACACUGAUUAAACCUGGCUAAGAACACAAACAUAGGCAAUGAAGAACAGCUUGCUAUUUUGUAUGAAUGAUACAAGGGUGUGAAUGUUUAAUAAAAUACAUUUGAGUUUGUAAUUGAGGAAUAGAAUAAGCCAUAUGACAAAGGGAGUUAUGAAAACGAAAAAGGGAUUAAAGUAGUUUUAAAAAAGAGUGACUUAGGAGUGCUCUCGUACUGAGUGAUCAACACUAGUGAUCACUGUUGGAAGAAAUAAAAUGAUUUAAUGAGUUGGGAAUGUUUAAACAUAUGUUUCUGUUGUUACAGCUUCUUGAGAGAUGACUCAGUAUGCAAAUUAGCUGGAGUGUGUGUGUGACUGUGACUUUCAGGAAGAGGAAGCAUAGCAGAGACGAGAAGUGCAGAUUGGGGUAGGGAAUUUAUAGUUUAGUGAUUAUAUGAUGUCGUAAGGGGUCUUAUGCUGAAUUUAAGAGUAUAAGGGGGUGAUUUUUGUGUGCAAAUUGAGUGGUUUUAAUGAGACUUUUGGUGUAUUGAGGAGGUGAAAUUAUGUGGUGGCAAGAUUUGUGUGUUUAAGGUUGUUGUGGUGAUGGGUUGAUUCUGUCAGGUAGGUUGUUGUUGGUGUUUUUGUUUUAAAUAGAGGGAGUUUUAGGAAACAUGGACAUGUCUAAAAUUGGGCCCAUUAUUUUGUAACAGUGCACUUAAAGAAAACCUGUCAGGUGAUUUUGUUUUGUUUUUAUGAGCUAACAAUCAGCUCUAUUUUUCAUUUCUGUUUUAAGCAGGCCUGCAACAGUGAAUAACAGCGCUGAAAAUUCUCGGGAGGAGCAAAUAUAAGGGGGCUUUCCAGAUUACAAUUGGCUGAGGAGAGCUACCUGGGGACAAUUCAGGUCGUAAGUCCCUGUAAAAGGAUUUUAUGCGAGUCAAUCCAGUCCAAAAGCAUAAAGAAAUAUUUUCCUAUGGAAAAUAAAAAAUGACGGAGCUCAUUUUGCUGAGGGUGGAGUAUCUGAUCUUGCGGGAGGCUCCACUAUCAGCAAAUACAUGGUGUGACUGCAUGUGAGUGAAUGUGUGACUGGAUGAAGGUGAGGAUGAAUAAAUGUGGAUAAACAAUUUGUUUUUACCAGAGAAAAUUUCUGUUUUGUUUUAUUAGGUGGGGUUAGAUUAUGAGAUUAUAGUAUAUUGUUGGGAGAAUGCCAAAUGCUAAAGGGGAAAUAUUUUUUGAUGUAACUCAGUUACCAUUAAUUGUAGAAACACAUGACUGAUAACUGUUCUGUUUUAAGUUUAUUUUUAUGACACAGAUUGGAUCAUGAGUGGGGAAAACUGAGCAGUUUUAAGUUUUGUAUAGUAUCUUGACACAUGAAAUGUAUCAAGAUAAAGGGGGGUUUAGGGUUUAAUAAUUUAAUUGUUUAAUAAUUUAGGAUCAUUUUAGGACCUUUUGGGUUUUUGAUCAUUUGGAUAUGGUAAAACUGAAACUGUUAUUUUUAAGUUAAGGUUAAAGGAUUAAAAGUGAACUUGUCACGGUUUGCGAGGCAAGCCGUGUGGAGUUGUAGAAAAGGACCCAAAAGGCGGCAGCUCUGGUGCAGGUGAAUAUUUAUUUACAACGGUGGGCACAAAACAGCACUGGUGGAAAAACAAGAAACCGGAAAACUGGGUAAGCUAAUAACACAAACCAGAAACGAGGAUGCAGGGAGACCGAGGGGAAACAACACAGACAAACCAGCAACUAGAAUAACAGAAGACACAACUUAAAUACACCCAGAGCACGGGGAGAACACAGACAUAACAGGCUGGGGGAAACAUGGAAUAAACACAAAGAGAGACGAGAGCUCAUAAAUACACAGAGGGGCACAAGGGGGUAAGAGUCACAAAGGGAAAAACACUUAGGGAACACCACAACAGGACACCUCAGAAAACCUGGCCUAAAUAAGGAGUGAAAAUACAAGGAACCAAGAAUACUGGGCCAACAUGGCCCAGGACCAAGACAGAACUGAAUCCUGUUUAGAAGAUACAAUGCCGGUUUUUCAAAGCUGUGAAUAAAUCUUAGAGGGAAAAUUAGUGAGGGUUGAAGGGGUAGAACAGCUUUGAUUUUUGAUCUUUAGAAGAAGUGGUUAUAAUGUAGGCUUACACAUACAGAUAUUACAUAGGAGGUAUUUUUAGGAUAAAGGGGGAGCUUAUAAAUAGAAAUGAUUUUUAUACAUAUUGCAUUUUGUGCUUUUAAAGGAGUUGUGGCUCAAAUUUGUCUCUGGAGGGUCACGAGCCUUUGGCUAGCGCUAUGAUUAGCCAAUCUACUGUGAGGAUAAUAUGAGUUCAUGAAGGAUUGCACACGCUUACAGACACAGAGUUAAGAAACACACAUGACAGUAUUGAUUCCAGGCAAAAGGCCUUAAAUUCAUUUAGCUUUUAACUGAACUUAAAGAAGGACCAAAAGAGGAAGGAAAGCAUAUAUUUUGGUUAAGUCUGAUACAUUAGAAUUAGAAGGUAUUGUUACAUUAAAGGGAGCAAAAUGAAAUAAAAAGGCUAUACCAAAACAGGUGAUAACAUAGGAAAUGUGAGGUUUUAAAAUGAAGUUAGUGUUAACACAUAGGAGUUGUUUCAAGGCAGCAUUUAGCUAUGAUGAAAUGUAUACAGGAGUAAUUGCUUAUAUGCUUAAACUUAAUUGAUUAAAGUGGUUGUUUUCUUUUGGAGUAGAUUAACUUGCAGCAGCGACAACUUGUGCACAGGAUGUUGAUGAUCAGAUGAGGGAAAAUAGAGCGAGCAACCGGACGUGAAACCAGCGCUUAAAGAAUUUUAAAGUGAUGAGGAACGUUGAAGAAUGUACAUAAAUACAAGUCAAUAAGUUAAGAAGAUAAUUAGGAUUAGGCUUUUGAUUAAAGAGUCCCAGAUAGGAUAAGUUAGGGAGAUGCAGGAAAGGUGUUUUGUUUCCUUUGCAGAAGAUCUCGGCGACCACAGGAGGGGCGAGGAUCCUGGAGAUCUCGAGGUUCGAGACCACCAGAGAAGGGUCUGCGUGAGGACACAAUGUAUUGUGACCUCUGGUGUUCCAGAGGUCAAAAGGGGGAGUGUCGAGGAGGGAAAUUAUUUUACUGCUAUUGUUAAAUAAUUGUCAUUGCAUUAAUAAUAUAAUCUGCAGCAUGGAUAUUGCAUUCCAAGGUUUAAACAGUGUCUCUUUCAGAAAGACUGAGUUGCAGGCUGACAGGAAGUUGUAUGCAGAAAGAAGCAGGAAGUUAUUUUGAG